rnacentral:tRNA from 1 species
CCUCUGAUAGCUCAGCUGGAAGAGCGCAAGACUGUAAUUGCCUGUUCUUUAUAGAACUAGUCAUCUUGAGGCCCUCGGUUCGAUCCCGAGUCAGAGGA